rnacentral:rRNA from 1 species
GUGGGGAAUAUUGGUCAAUGGGCGGAAGCCUGAACCAGCCAAGUAGCGUGCAGGACGACUGCCCUAUGGGUUGUAAACUGCUUUUAUAGGGGAAUAAAGUGAGGUAUGCAUACCUUUUUGUAUGUACCCUAUGAAUAAGGACCGGCUAAUUCCGUGCCAGCAGCCGCGGUAAUACGGAAGGUCCGGGCGUUAUCCGGAUUUAUUGGGUUUAAAGGGAGCGCAGGCGGGAUUUUAAGCGUGUUGUGAAAUGUAACGGCUCAACCGUUGAAUUGCAGCGCGAACUGGAGUCCUUGAGUGAGUACGACGUCAGCGGAAUUCGUGGUGUAGCGGUGAAAUGCUUAGAUAUCACGAAGAACUCCGAUUGCGAAGGCAGCUGACGAGUCCUUAACUGACGCUAAAGCUCGAAAGUGCGGGUAUCGAACAGG